rnacentral:lncRNA from 1 species
GCAUGCAAUCAGCAAUCGAGAGUGAACUCGAUCAACAACAUGAUGAAGUUGACUUGAUGUCGGAUUCCAGCAUCCACUAAAACUUUAUAUUAAAAACAAGCUUGGCCAUGAUCUUCUGUGACAUCUUAACUGCCGAAAGCCGUUGAAGUCGAAAAGCACCUACUCAGAUCCUCCUCGGAAUUCAACUAUGACCAUAUUCACAAUAUCAAAUCAUCGUAGUAGCGGAACUUGAGACAUUGAGAAUUUGCCCCGGCUAAUGUUGACUUGCACCAGAGAGAGAGAGAGAGAGGGGCAUGAGUGGAGCAACUAACUCAAAAGCUGAGUAAUAGAAACCUAAAUCUUGACAAUGCUCCCAGGUGCGUCUUUGUUGGAACAAGGCUAUGGCCAGGCAAUCGGGAAGCCUACCAAAUCAAGCUCUCAAGGCAACACUUCUGCAACCAAAUCAGCAACUUUCGACCAUACUCAUAAAAAAGGGAUAAUUUGUCUACCUCUUUCCGGUCGCACAUGACAUCACACACUAGUUUAACGCACUGGUGCCUCAGAAAUGGCUCCUGCUCUUGCUAAAGAACAACUUUAAGCACGUUCGAGUUGAGAAUUGCUCCUCUCGAUUCUACUUGGAUCAGUACGAAGACAUGGAAAUAGAUCAAUGGUAAUCAAACUCUUUUAAAUUUCAAAAGGCUAAUAAUAUAAAUAGGAAAGUCUGAUCGAAUUCUUGUCAAUCUCUGGAGAAGAGCUUGUUUGCAAUGUAUGCAAGAAUGAUUUUUUUUUUUUUUGUGCACAUCUUUAUAAACACUUAGUUGAAGUAAGAUGUAAUGGAUUAGGCUCUUAUGUUACCUCCUCCAUGCUUUUGCAGGGAUUCUGUGUCGCGAUGACGGUGCAAAUGACUUGGGUUUUUGUCACAAAUUUAUUAUGGAAGUCUGGUGCAAUUAUACAAGAAGACAGCUAAAUAAAGUUGAUACUUUCUGUACCUUCAAUUGAAGAUUGUAGAGUUUGAUUUCUUGUGUAGUUUUGUUCAAGUUAUUGCACAAAAGGGAAAUUCUCCAACUAGACGUCCUUGGAUUUUCCGAAAAUUCGGCAUGAUUAGUGAUGGCGUUUGCUUUACUCUUCGUUAGAUUUGCAAACUGCUUACAAUGAUUCUAAACAUUUCACGGCGAAUCUCUUUAGCCUUAGGUUUUUCCAGAUCUUCCAAAUUGCCGUGUCGGCUACUAUAGCAGAAAACUAUCGCUAGUUUGUGAUAGUUUAUCAAACGUACCUUGCGACAUGAUCUGUUCUUAAGGCCCUAACCACCAAAGUAGACGUCUACUGAAACCUAGUGAACAAAAUAAAAAUAAAACAAAAAUAAAAUAACAGCCUGAAAUAGACACGAUCUCUUAAACUAAUCAAGGG